CCUACGGGAGGCAGCAGUGAGGAAUAUUGGUCAAUGGCCGGAAGGCUGAACCAGCCAUGCCGCGUGAAGGUCAGUGCCCUAUGGGCGUUAAACUUCUUUUGUGCGGGAGCAAUAAUGGUCACGUGUGGCCAGACGAGAGUACCGUACGAAUAAGCAUCGGCUAACUCCGUGCCAGCAGCCGCGGUAAUACGGGGGAUGCAAGCGUUAUCCGGAUUUAUUGGGUUUAAAGGGUGCGUAGGCUGUGAGGUAAGUCAGCGGUGAAAUGCCCGCGCUCAACGGGGUGAAGUGCCAUUGAUACUGCCUGGCUGGAAUGCGGAUGCAGUGGGAGGAAUGUGUGGUGUAGCGGUGAAAUGCAUAGAUAUCACACAGAACACCGAUUGCGAAGGCAUCUCACGAAUCCGCGAUUGACGCUGAUGCACGAAAGCGUGGGUAUCAAACAGGAUUAGAUACCCUUGUAGUC
rnacentral:rRNA from 1 species